UUCAGAGGGGGGCUGAAUCCUUUCUCUUGGUAAAGGCGAGCAAUUUAGCCAUUCCCCAAAUGCUAUGGCCUGGGGACUAGGGAGAGAGUAAGAGGAGCAAGAUCCCUGCCCUGUGGAGCCAGCAUUCUGGUCAGUUAGACAGGGGAACAAUAACCAGAUUGUUAAGCGCAUGAUUUUCCCUGGGAUGAUUUCUACAGGAAAGGUGCUGGGUGGGAGUGUUUGGAGAUGCUGGUGGGGAGGCCGCCUCGAGGAAACACACCAAUUUGAACUCGUGGAAAGGAUUUAGUGAGGCAUACUGACUGGGGGAACUGAAUGUGGGAAGGCCUUGACCCAGAGAGCGAAGGUGUCGGGGGUACAUUUGGGAAAGCAGAAAGUUAGUGUGGUCUUGGGCAUAUCACUUAACCUCCUUGAACUUCGAUUUCCUCAUCUGUAAACUGGAAUAUUAUUAAUGCCUUUUAUUUUUAUUUUAUUUUAUUUUUGGUGCUAGGCCCAGGGCCUUGUGCAUGCCAGGCAAGCACUCUACCAACUGAGCUUUAUCCCCAGCUAUUAAUACCUUUUAUAGAGUUGUGAAAAUCGAUUCAUGCAUUCAGUAAAU
rnacentral:lncRNA from 1 species